rnacentral:misc_RNA from 1 species
GAUGAAGAACGCAGCGAAAUGCGAUAAGUAAUGUGAAUUGCAGAACUCAGUGAAUCAUCGAGUCUUUGAACGCACAUUGCGCCCCCUGGUAUUCCGGGGGGCAUGCCUGUCCGAGCGUCAUUGCUGCCCUCAAGCACGGCUUGUGUGUUGGGCCUCCGUCCUCCUCCCGGGGGACGGGCCCGAAAGGCAGCGGCGGCACCGCGUCCGGUCCUCGAGCGUAUGGGGCUUCGUCACCCGCUCUUGUAGGCCCGGCCGGCGCUUGCCGACACAUCAAUCUUUUUUCCAGGUUGACCUCGGAUCAGGUAGGGAUACCCGCUGAACUUAAGCAUAUCAAUAAGCGGAGGA